GAGUUUGAUCCUGGCUCAGAACGAACGCUGGCGGCAUGCCUAACACAUGCAAGUCGAACGAACUCUUCGGAGUUAGUGGCGCACGGGUGCGUAACGCGUGGGAAUCUGCCCUUGGGUACGGAAUAACUCAGAGAAAUUUGUGCUAAUACCGUAUAAUGACUUCGGUCCAAAGAUUUAUCGCCCAAGGAUGAGCCCGCGUAAGAUUAGCUAGUUGGUGGGGUAAAGGCCUACCAAGGCUACGAUCUUUAGCUGGUCUGAGAGGAAGAUCAGCCACACUGGGACUGAGACACGGCCCAGACUCCUACGGGAGGCAGCAGUGGGGAAUAUUGGACAAUGGGCGAAAGCCUGAUCCAGCAAUGCCGCGUGAGUGAUGAAGGCCUUAGGGUUGUAAAGCUCUUUACCCGGGAUGAUAAUGACAGUACCGGGAGAAUAAGCUCCGGCUAACUCCGUGCCAGCCGCCGCCGUAAG
rnacentral:rRNA from 1 species